rnacentral:pre_miRNA from 1 species
UCACCAUGACUAUGAUGAUGGUGAUGAUGAUGAUGAAGAUGAUGAUCAUGAUCAUCAUCAUCAUCAUCAUCAUCAUCAUCAACAUCGCCAUCGUCA